AAGAUGACAGGGGAAGCUCUAACCUGUCAGGUGAUGGACCCAGGCACAUGGAAACUCAGGAAGGCUUGGUCCCCCAACCCUCACCUUCCUCACUCUUUCUCUCUCCAUCCCUCUUAGGAAUUCAGGGAAGAUAAUGAUGUGGACUCUAAGCUCCUGGCUUUGACAUGACUCAGGCCAGCGAUGGACCACCCAGGGUUUCCAAGAAAGUACUCAAGUGGACUCUAAGCCCUUGCAGUUUGACUUGACUCAGGCUGGAAAUUUGCCACCCAGGCCGCACCACACUGCCGGAUUUCACCAGGUCCAAGCAUCAAACCAGGAGCUCACUCAGGAGAAAUUCUGCCUGCCAUGAGUAUUCUUAAUCUCUGUUCACAAUCAAGAUUCAAAUUUCUUCAGAUAAAAGGACAUCCAUACUCAACUGGAAAAUUCUCAAAAAAUUGAAAAGUCAUAUUUUUCUGAAAGAAUGACAUAAAUAAAAUUUUCUGCGAGUAUGGAAACAGUUCAUGGUCCAAUGAGGGCGCAUGUAUCUGGCCCUUUUGUGACUUUGAGAUGACAUCCGUGCAUGAAGGACAAGGGAGAAGCCAUCACCACCCAGAAUAUGGCUUGGAUAACUGUCUCCUUGUGUAGGUAACCGAGGAACUGUAUUUAUACAUAAGAUUCUGAACUAGGAUUUUCAUUUUGCAGGAGUUAAUUGGUGGUGUGAGAAUUUAGUUUUCUAAAUGUUCCUCCAUCUGACUCUCAUGAUCAGCCAAGUUAGUUUGUGAUGGCCAAGAUAUGUGGAGAUCAACUCUAUGAUGUAAUACUCUUUUUGAAUACUUUCAUAUUUAAAGAUCUGGAGUAAACUUACCUUCUCUAACAUCAGGUAUACUUAGAAACUAAUUUCAAGUGUAACAAUUUGGGGAUAUUUUUUAAAUUAUUUUUGGCAGAUAUUUCUAAAUUUGGGGGGGAUAUUUUUGGCAGAUAUUUCUAAAUCUCAUGAUAGGUUCAAUUGAGAUGUUCUCUAAGCAGUGCUGGUUAAUCUGAUAAACUCCAGAAGGUGAUGUGGCAUCUAUAGCACUUAACUGAGUGACUUUUUAAUUCUGUAGUAAGGAGGCUGUUACUUCCAUUCUUUUUUGCUGUUGUUGUUCACACCUGAAUUUCAGCAUCCUAUUAUGUUUCUUGGCCGUUUAGAUGUUUUCUCCUUUAAUUGUUUUCUUUACAUGUUUUAUAGAUAAAUAGAUGAUAUAUAGAUA